CCUAGGGUGGCAGCAGUGGGGAAUAUUGGACAAUGGGCGAAAGCCUGAUCCAGCCAUGUCGCGUGUGUGAAGAAGGCCUUCGGGUUGUAAAGCACUUUCAGUGGGGAAGAAAGCCUUGGGGCUAAUACCCUCGAGGAAGGACAUCACCCACAGAAGAAGCACCGGCUAACUCCGUGCCAGCAGCCGCGGUAAUACGGAGGGUGCGAGCGUUAAUCGGAAUUACUGGGCGUAAAGCGCGCGUAGGCGGUCUGAUAAGCCGGUUGUGAAAGCCCCGGGCUCAACCUGGGAACGGCAUCCGGAACUGUCAGGCUAGAGUGCAGGAGAGGAAGGUAGAAUUCCCGGUGUAGCGGUGAAAUGCGUAGAGAUCGGGAGGAAUACCAGUGGCGAAGGCGGCCUUCUGGACUGACACUGACGCUGAGGUGCGAAAGCGUGGGUAGCAAACAGGAUUAGAUACCCCAGUAGUC
rnacentral:rRNA from 1 species